GAUGAACGCUGGCGGCGUGCCUAAUACAUGCCAGUAGAACGCUGAAGGAGGAGCUUGCUCUUCUGGAUGAGUUGCGAACGGGUGAGUAACGCGUAGGUAACCUGCCUGGUAGCGGGGGAUAACUAUUGGAAACGAUAGCUAAUACCGCAUGACAACAGUUAUUGCAUGAUAACUGUUUAAAAGGGGCAACUGCUCCACUACCAGAUGGACCUGCGUUGUAUUAGCUAGUUGGUGAGGUAACGGCUCACCAAGGCGACGAUACAUAGCCGACCUGAGAGGGUGAUCGGCCACACUGGGACUGAGACACGGCCCAGACUCCUACGGGAGGCAGCAGUAGGGAAUCUUCGGUAAUGGACGGAAGUCUGACCGAGCAACGCCGCGUGAGUGAAGAAGGUUUUCGGAUCGUAAAGCUCUGUUGUAAGAGAAGAACGAGUGUGAGAGUGGAAAGUUCACACUGUGACGGUAUCUUACCAGAAAGGGACGGCUAACUACGUG
rnacentral:rRNA from 1 species